UACGGAGGGGACUAGCGUUGUUCGGAAUUACUGGGCGUAAAGCGCGCGUAGGCGGAUUUGCAAGUCGGGGGUGAAAUCCCGAGGCUCAACCUCGGAACUGCCUUCGAUACUGCAAAUCUCGAGUCCGGAAGAGGUGAGUGGAAUUCCUAGUGUAGAGGUGAAAUUCGUAGAUAUCUGGAGGAACACCGGUGGCGAAGGCGGCAUCCUGGACCGAUAUUGACGCUGAUGCGCGAAAGCCAGGGGAGCAAACGGG
rnacentral:rRNA from 1 species